rnacentral:lncRNA from 10 species
UCCAUCUGUAAGGGUGUACCCUUCUGUAGAAGUACCUUGCCUUGCUGAGAAUUAAAAAGAAAAUUUUAUAUUCGAGUACUAGUUCUUUUGCAGCACCGAAACUUUAUUUAUAACAAUUUGGGGCCUCACCGGUGAUUACAUUAUCCUCCGGGGGCGGUCUCUGGUUCUCUCUUCUGAGGAGACAUGCCCCGCCCCCUUGUGGCGGCCUCGGGGGUGAGAACUCAAGACCCACUCAGUGCGAGGAAUAACCGCAGCUCUCAGCAACGCGCAGGGGAGGGGCUGGGGGGAGGGACUGGCCAGCAACCUAGCUUAAAGGAUCCUCAUAGACUGCAGCGACGAUUCUGUGCACAGACUAAGGAAGGAGAAGCUGCAGGAACCGUUUCCUGAGUUGCAAGUUUAGGCUCUUGGCUGUAAACAGUUCUUCUUUCCUAAUAUUUCAAACAUUUCAUUGAAGGAGAUCAAGAAAAUUAAUUACUGAUCAAGAGCCCACCUAAACUUGCAAGAAAACAAGCUUAUGUUACUAUAGAAGAAUGAGAGAUCACCUGGGCAAAUAUAAGACAUUUUAGAUGAUCCAUAAUAGAAUUACUAACCUCCAGUCUGUCUGCCAGCUCCACAAAGACACAAGAGCAAACCCAGAAAUUCUGAGAACCUUCCUUGAAAUCAUUGAACAGCAAAUGAACAAGCUGUUGCCAACCUGGGGUAGAAGACAGCAGAUGGCUUUGUCAAACUUGUAUUUGUCCCUGGGGUAAAGGGCUUCAAUGCUGAGCAUCGAGCAUAAGGAGUUGGAGAAAGAGAUGUGGGUGAUUUACCUCUGCCAUAGAUAUCGGAUUGGCAAAAAUAAAUGAAUUUCAUCUGAAGAGAAUUAACACAAGCAUACACAUAUACACAGGAGUGCACAUAAAAAUUAAUCUUCAAGAGGAUAGAAACAGGGGAUGGUGUAGUUCCUGCCAUGAAGUACAGAUCAACUGGUACCAGAGAUUCAAAAUUGUGGAAUGGAUCAUGGGGAUUUCUCUCUUCCCUGUCAUAAAGAGUAAUUCAAUCAGGAAAACUGACAUGCAUUGUUGUAUUGUGGGUGCAACAGCUGAGAAGAUGAAAAAGACAUAGAGAAAGGGGAUAUUGGAAAUAAAAGGAUGUUAAAAUGAUAUAAUUUUUAAGAAGGUUGAGAAGGAAUAUGGGAUAUUUAUAUUCCUCUAAAUUUGAUAGAUAAUGAUGUCCACAAAGAAGAGUUUGCUGAAAUAAUUUUAAAUUUUGGUGAGCACAGACUAUCAAUGCCAAACGCAAUGGGUAAUUUUCUGUGUCAGCUUGGCUAGGCUGUGAUCUCCAAGUGUUUGUUCAAACAGCAAUCGUAGAUGUCCUUGUGAAGGUAUUUUUAGGUAAGAUUAACAUUUAAAUCAGUAGUCUUUGAGUAAAGCAGAUGACCUGCAAUAAUGUGAGUGGGUCUCAAAUUUGUUUUAAGUUGAAGGCCUUAAGAGAGAAAGAUUAAGGUCAUCCAUGAAAGAGGGAAUUCUGCUACCAGAUUGCAUUUGGACUCAAGCUGCAAUAUCAGCUCUUCCCUGGGUCUCCAACCUGACAGCCUGUCCUAUAGAUAAGAGCUUGCCAGUCCCCACAAUCACAUGACACAUGAGCCAGUCCUUUUUUUUUUAGCCAAUUCUUUAAAAUUCUUCUCCUCUCUCUCUCUCUCUCUCCCCCGCCUCUCCCUCUCUCUCUCCCUUCUUUCUCUGUGUAUACACAUGCACGCGUGCACGCGCGCACACACACACACACACACACACACUCAUCCUAUUAGUUCCGUUUCUCUGGAGAACCCAGACUAAUGUACUUCCUCAGUAAUUGUUUUAGCAUUCUGGAUUCUGUUACUUUACUAUCAGCCUUAAAAUUGCAAAAAGAAGAAGGAAAGUUUUAUCAACCAUUUCAGACACUAAGUUUUCAGCCUUUUGGGAUCAAGGAAAAUACAAUCCAUAUGUUUUGGACUCACUUGCUAUUAUCCAGAACAUUAUAUCGGAGAUGGUUUAAAAUUUCUGGCUGGUUCAAUAUACGCAAAUCAAUAAAUGUAAUCCAGCAUAUAAACAGAACCAAAGACAAAAACCACAUGAUUAUCUCAAUAGAUGCAGAAAAAGC